GAGAAAACGACCUCUCAUGCUAAGUUCCGACACAGAGAAAUUCUGUGUUAUUAGCAAGCAAGUGGCAGCAUGAGCCCAGGAGGAGCUGGAGAGAGAGACAAGCUUGAGUGGCAGCCCGGCGCCUGUCCCCGGUACCAGGACACAGUGCGCAAUACCUUGCUCCUCUAAGAUCCCGUUAGGCAUCUUCUUGUCGUUGCUGUUGACCACGGCCUUCCUCUGCUUCCUGAACCUUAGAGGCACAAGACGUGUUAGGUCUCAGCACAGCGGGAACCCCCAAGCCCUGAGUGUAGUGAUACCCACCAGGUGAGCCGGGAAAAGUUCUUUCUGCUGCUCAUGGCUGAGCUGUGUGCAGCUCAGGCCUGGCCAGCCGCUGUCUGAGCUGUUUGGACCCACACCCCCAGCCUCCAGCACACUCAUUUCCUCAUAGGAGCUGGUUAGAGCACGUCAGGGCCUGGGGACACUCCUACCUGAAGAAGUAGGCUGCGAGGAGGAACAGGAGGAGGAGCAAAGGCAGCAGCAGCCAGGGUGCUCUCUUAUCUCCACAAAGUUCCCACCCUAAGGGCUCCAUCAAAAGCCUGCUACUCUCAUGGACCAGCUUGGCUCCUGUCGUGAACUAGUCCAGAGGAGCUAUGUUCUGCAGUCGGUGAGCACAUGCUACCAGGAGUGAGCAGGUCCCCCAUGGGAGGCCCUGGAGAUUCCCCCAGUGACUCAUCUGCUGUGUCAGAAUGACCCAGGCAGAAGAGUGUGGGCAGCCUGGGGAAGCUCUUUCCAGACCAUGGAACUCUGCACCAAUCUGCAACAGAUAGUGCCCCUCCAGUGAGGGACAUUCUACAUGUCUAGAGGGUCCCCAGUGAGGAAGCAGAGGUAAAGGAGGAAGAGGAAGAGGAAAAGGAAAAGGACACACAGGAAGUUCAGUGAGCAAUUGUGCUCUGGGAAGAGACAACAGUCCCUGGAGGACUGCUCUGGAGAACUUUCUGGGAUCUAGUCCAUAAAUCUUCUUGGGCCAGAGGCCUACGAUAAACAUUCCAAGUCGCCCAGUCAGAGUGAACACACAUAGGUGUCGGACUGUUUUGUUUCCCUAGCAUGAGGUUGUGAGUGUAUCUUUCCCUACCUUUUCUUCUAUGAUGCUAAACUCAUGAACACAUAGGUUUGGUAAAUAAAUUAGACACACUAAUCUCUCCUGGCAUCCAAGAUCGCAUGACCGAAGGAAGUACUGUUAUUUUACAAAUUGUUAGGGAAGGAAAACAGACAAACUGAUUAUAAAGAAUCAUCUGCCUGAUGACAGAUUUCAACACAAAUGCUAUGUAUGAAGUGACCAGAUGAAACACACACCUCUCUCAUUGCUCCUGGAGAGUUGCCACGCUAGGUGCACCUCUUCAUUCUGUGUUCUGGCUGCUUGCUGUCCUUUGCAGUCCUUUGGACUGGCUCAGAUUGCAUGGGUAUUUGAGGCUCUUCCUCACUUUGCUGUUCCCUGUACUCCUAUUUCUACACUUAAAAAGAGCGAUAUUCC